CAGAGUGAGCUGAGUUUUGCAGGAUCUCUGUUUGCGGAAUCCAUGUUGAUUUUUGUAGAGGAGCUGUUCAUUUUCCAAGAACAUCAUAAUUCUUGAACAUAAAACAUGUUCCAUAAUUUUACCAUCGUGAAUAAAUGUUUAAAGAGCACAAUAAUUAUUAAAAAAAUAAAUAAAAAACAGUAUGGUAGCUGUGUGUGCUAUAUUACAUACAUGGGCACACAUUUCCAAGCUGCAAAAGAAAUUGUCCAUAGCCCUUCGUUUUAAAAUAGAAUCUUAUUUUUUAGCAGCAGUGUUACACCAUCUUCUAAGAACCAUGGUGUCAGUUCAAGUAGCUUCUGCUAGCUGCCUGAUAUAAUGCAGUGCCAGAUCUAGCGCUGUCAAAAUCCUUGGUACGAGUGAUCACUAGUACAACUUCUUUACGGAAUUCCUCAUUGUCUCCAGUGGGUUCACUAACAAUUUCGGCAAUUGCAACAUUGGUCACUUCAGACUGUUCAUCCAUUCUAAAAUAUCACUUUUAUUCGUGUUUUCAAAUACAUCAGUUCUGCCAGUGGUAGGUCAUCUUCGUCUGUACUGUAGAUAUCCAUUUCAUUCUGUAAAAUUUGGUUCCAAGACGUUUUUAGUGUGUUUGCCUUUAUCUCAGACCAUGAAUCGGCUAUCCAGUAAACUAUGUCUUUUAUUGUAGUGUCUGAAGCAAAUGACGACGAUAACUUUCUUUCGAGCAUUGUAAAAUGCCUUGAUCCAUACGCUGAAAUAAAGUCGUCAUAUUGGGGGUAAGAACAAUGUGCGAAUACUGCCAGUUCUACCUCAUCAGGGUGUGAACCAGCGUUGUCAAAUGUUAAGAUUGCUGCGCAAGGCAAGCACUUUUUUGUUAGGUAUCUUUUAGUCACUGGAACAAAAUUGUCAAAAAACCACUUCUUAAAAAUAUUUUUGUCCAUCCAGGCAGAGUUUUGGUGGACAUAUGUUACAGACAGUGCGGAAGCUGUGAUAUUUUUAAAAGCUGUAGGUGAAGCAGAUUUUCCUAUUGCCUGCAACUUCAAUUUGUGGUCUCCACUCGCAUUCAGUGCAGCGAGAACUGUUAACCUCUCCUUAAAUUUUUUGUUGCCAGGGCAGCCUCCUCCUCUUUUGAGCCUGGAGUUUUAGAUGGAAGCAUUUUAUAAUUUAACCCCGUUUUAUCAUAGCUAUGUAGUUGAUCAGGAGUAAGAUAUUCUUUCUGUAUAAUUUUUCUUAAUUUCUCACAAAAUUGUGCAACAGUUUGAGAAUCAACAGAAAGCUUUUCACCACAAAUUUCCAUCUGCUUUAUGCCGUAUUACUUCUUCCACCUACCCAACCAUCCUGAACAUGCAGUAAAACCUUCCUCACCUUCUUUAAACUCAUUCCUAAAAAACACAGCUUUUUGUUGCAGAAUCCUUUUUGUCUUUGUUAAGUAAACCAAAUGAGUAAUCUUACUCAGAUUUUCUCAUCUGUUCAAAUGACAAAAUAGAACAGUUGUUUGGUGAAAACUUCUCAGUUUUGUCUCUGUUUCUAUGCCAAUCGCUGGCCAUUGUGACCGAGUGGUUCUAGGCACUUCAGUCUGGAAUUGUGCUGCUGCUACGGUUGCAGGUUCGAAUCCUUCCUCGGGCAUGGAUGUGUGUGAUGCCCUUACGUUAUUUAGGUUUAAGUAGUUCUAAGUCUAGGGGAAUGAUGAUCUCAGAUGUUAAGUCCCAUAGUGCUCAGAGCCAUUUGAACCAUUUAUGCCAACGUCGAACUCCAAUUUCACAUUCAGUGACACAGUUUUUCUCGUUCUCCUAUCACUCAUUGUAAUCUGAGAAUUAAAACAUUAAGAAACUCACAGUUACAUAUGUGCAGUACACUCUUCAUACAUACAACACCUUUAAACUAAUGUGACACAGGUGGGCUCACUACCGUACAGAUGUUACUACACAACCAACUACACAGUGCAUACACAUUGGUCAGCCAUUGGUGUAAAAUUUGUACUGUAUUUUUUAUUAGGCAUAUUGUAUUUUAAUGACCACUGUUGCCAAGUGGGCACAACAAUAGUGGUAACAAUAAGGAUGGUAUGCACUGUAGAACUGAUUGUCAGGUGGUCCCAGUUAUUGAAGAGCUGACAGAGAAAGAGCAAGCACACUCCUCGAAACCUGAUAGUACCUGUCCAUCUGUAAUAGAAUUGCAUUAGCAGCCUGAGGCCAAGAUUAUUUCUGGGCAUUAUAAACAAAAACUCUUAAGUUGUACAGUUUUACCCGUAUUGCACAUUGAAAAUCGAAAGUAAGUUCGAAAUGUAACACAUUCGAAAGUCUGUAAAAUGUACUUGUGGACAACUCAUUGAAAUGGGUUUUUAAUUUACAUUUAUGUAAAAUUUUAUUUUUCUUAAAACCAGCUUGAAUUACACAGAAUAUCGAAAUACUGGGGCUUCACCGUAAUGUCUGAGUAGAAUUGAUGUCCCCAUGAUGUACUGAUUUCAUAAGUUUAUUUUGAAAAUGAGCUUGUUCCCAUUAAGAUGAUAUGACAAUCACAGAUCAAGAUUAACAGAUGAAUUCUAUAGUCUUUUAGUCACAGAAAAAGUUUCCAGAGCAGUGCCACAUUGUGCUUUUGUUGGGUUAUAUUGUCAGUUUGUUGAAAAGGCACAUUGGUUAUGACUGCCUGUGUGUAUCUGUCUAUGUCUUUCCGUUUUAACCUUCCCCAACCUAUCCCUCUCUCCUCCCUGAACAAGGAACUAUUAGUUCCAAAAGCUAGAUAUUGAGUCUCUUUUACUGUUAUAUGAGCUGUUUGGCAGUAAUGCACCUUUUAUGUAUCCUGAAGGUAUGUACUGGCCAAUAUUCUUCUCUUAAAAUUUAUAAGUACCUCAGUUGAAUUGUCCUUUGAUUUGAUACAAAUGUUGUAAGUACAUUGCCUGUAGUUGUUGGUUAAACUAAAUUAAGUAAAUUUAUUAUCUAGGUCUAUUGCUGUCAGGUUUUCACAUAUAAUUUUUAUGAUACCAUGUACUCUAAAGCUAUUUUAUGUAUUUUCUUGCUGAAUUCUAGCUUAGAUAUUAAGCUGUUUAAAGAUAUAGAAACAUUACUAAAAACAGCAACAAAUUAUUUCUCACUGCAGUCUUUCUCAGAAGGAACAAUUCAACAACAGUUCAACAUUUUAUAAAUUGGAGGGUCCAUACUCCUGCACCACAUAUGUAAUUUGUAAGCAUUUGUGAUAAUACUAGUCUUGGUUUCAAAUUAAAUGAACUGUGGCAGUUCUGAUGUGCAAGUAUGAAAAAAAUUACUUUUUUGUUUCAUGUAAGCCCUUCAUUUCAUGUAAAUUAGGAAGUGAAAAUAUUUUGUAUUCUAUGAUCAUGAGAAUAAUGUAUUUUAUUACAUGAGGCAUUUUCUCUUCAGAUCUUUACAUCACUACUGCCAAAUUAGAAGGUUUAAAGGGUAAGCUAUGGAUUACAUUCAGGGGAAGCUUUCUGACCAUUUAGUUUUAGCUGUUACAUCACUUCCCUAAUUGCUGAAGGUAAAUAUCGGAAUGAUUCCUUUGGAAAGAACAAAUCUUGUUUCUUUCCUAUCAUUGGUCAGUCCCAACAUGCACUCUGUCUUUAAUUAUCCUAUUGUCAAUGGGACAAAUCUUAAAUCCUUGUUUUAAAUCUUACUACAAGUGGUAACAUUGUCCCAUUUUGUGGUUUACAUGCACACAAUAAUUCUGAAAGAUGGAUAUACUUGAAUGUGCCACUUAAAUUGGCAUGAAUUUCUUAGCAGUACAAGCCACAAUUACAUCAUCUUGUAAGCAUAUUAUGAUAUAAUCAUUGCAUUGGUGUUGCAUGUGAUUAUUAUAUUACUCUGUAUUAGUUCAGUUUUUGUCUUCUAUUUUUCAUUGUUCACAGAUGCUUUCUUUCUUAUGAAUUGUAUUAAGAAACUUACAAAUUGUUCAUAAAAUUAAGAUAUUUUGUGUCAAGCCUGUAUUGGUCAUAAAAUUUGGAUGCUGAAUGUUGCAGCUGAAAAUUUGGUGGAGAGAGCAGAAAUACCAGUGUGUUACGUUAAUAUCUCAUUCUGAAUAGAUACCAGCUGUCAUUCUUCUGAUAGUUAUAUGUAUUUUUACCGACCAUACUAUGUAGGCAGAUGACAUAGAAAUUAUUUAUUUAGUUAAUUAUACUUCAAGCUUCGCAAGUAAACAUUUUAAUAAUCAUAUGACAUUUGUCAAGAAAAGCUUGUCUACUUUUGUGAUUAACAUGCACAAGAAACCAUCGUAUAAAUGUUAUGAGCGUUGUGUAACAUCUCAGGCUUCAUCUCUCUCAGGGUAUUUUGUUAAUGAGGGUAGCAGCAGUGUGUUACAAAUUGCUGUCUGAAAGUAGCACAUUCUGUUUAAAACCAAGUAUUUUUAUAACUUUCUGACUUGGACAUAAGACAGCUGUUCCUGUGUAAAAAUUAACCUUUGAAUGUUUGAUCUCUAAUGCAAAAUAAGGAUGAAAAAUAUGAGGAUAGACAACUUGUAAUUCAGAGGAAGUAUUUAGCAAUGGCUAGGCAUACAGAAGUGUGAAUAGUUAUUGUAGCUCAGCUAUAUACUUCAUAACAGUGUAGUAUGCAUGUGCAUGUAUUCGUUCUUUCUACGCUGUAUGGCAGCUAGGUGGACAUAAUUGCCACCUCCACCUCCCUAUCCCCACCAUAAUGUUAAAUGCGAAGUACAGUAGAUAACUCAAUAAAAUAUAUUGAGAAGAGUUCAAAUCUACAUUUGAUUGUUUCAGUUUAGAUUUUUUCCUCAAUUUUUCUAAAUCACCAUCAAUUAAAGUUGUAGUCCCUGCCUUGUCCUUGUCCUUCCAGUAUUCAUAUUACACCAGUUUAUUAAUGUUUAUAAGCACAUAUUACUAUGAGGACAUGGUAGAAUAUGUUUUUGAAUGUCAGUUCAGAAGUUCUGGCCAAACAUUUCUGACUAUUCAUGUUCCAUUGUUGACAUCAUUCAUGUGAGGCAGCAUAAUCUUUAAAAUAUAUGAUUCCCAAGCUGGGUUAAAAGACCUGUUCAGUGAUACAGAUGUAGGCUACCUGUAGUACCUAAACUGGACAAAAUUAAUUUUAAAACAAAACUCUAGCUUUGCAUUCCCUAAUAACGUAUUUCUGACUGCAUUUGGUAAGAGUUCAGGUCUACAGUCCUCUAAAGUACAUCUUUGUCUUUCCCUCUACAGCUAUUUGUCCUUUGUAGUGUUAAUUUCACAGUGACUGUUUUAUGUACAUCAAUUUGUAUCUUGCAUUGUAUUAUGAUCAGGAAAAUGGGGUUUCCUUAAAAUAAUCACUUCUGUGGUUGGGGAUUGCCUUAAUUUGGAGAUAUAUGUUUUUAAUGCGUCCAAGCUUUUUUUUGCCCUGUGCCCAUAUUGUGUAUGAAUAAGCAAUGUUCCAUUUCCCUGUCCUCUGCAUUGUAGUUGCAGUAUCUGUUCAACAUUUUAAGCUAAAAGUAUUAAAUUGUUGGUGUUUGAUGACUA